UCUGUAGUAGUGUAGGGGUAAUCAUUCUAGCCUUCCAAGCUUGAGACCGGCGUUCGAGUCGCCGCUGCAGCA
rnacentral:tRNA from 1 species